ensembl:snRNA U6 U6 spliceosomal RNA
GUGCUUGCUUCGGCGGCACAUAUACUAAAACUGGAACAAUACAAAGAUUAGCAUGGCCCCUACACAAGGAUGACACAAAUUUAUGAAGCAUUCCAUUAAAAA